AACGAACGCUGGCGGCAGGCCUAACACAUGCAAGUCGAACGCUCCAGCAAUGGAGAGUGGCAGACGGGUGAGUAACGCGUGGGAACCUUCCCAGUGGUACGGAAUAGCUCAGGGAAACUUGAGGUAAUACCGUAUACGCCCUUCGGGGGAAAGAUUUAUCGCCAUUGGAUGGGCCCGCGUCGGAUUAGCUAGUUGGUGAGGUAACGGCUCACCAAGGCGACGAUCCGUAGCUGGUCUGAGAGGAUGAUCAGCCACACUGGGACUGAGACACGGCCCAGACUCCUACGGGAGGCAGCAGUGGGGAAUAUUGGACAAUGGGCGCAAGCCUGAUCCAGCCAUGCCGCGUGAGUGACGAAGGCCUUAGGGUUGUAAAGCUCUUUUGGCGGGGAAGAUAAUGACGGUACCCGCAGAAUAAGCUCCGGCUAACUUCGUGCCAGCAGCCGCAGUAAAAC
rnacentral:rRNA from 1 species